rnacentral:lncRNA from 1 species
GUAUGAAAAUUUUGUCUGGUUAAUAAUUGUCAACAGAAUAUUUUUUAUGUAUUCCUUAUUUAUGUUUGUUUACAAAUAUUAAUUUUUGAUGAAUGAAAAUGUAAACAAACACGCCAGUUGUGUUGUGAAUCCGGAGCUUAGAGCGACGACUGAAUUGAAUUGGAUUGAUUGGAUUGAAUUGAAUUGAGCUGAAUUGAAACUGAAAGACGGGACAUUCUGGUUUGGAGCCUGUUCUUUGAUUGCAUCUUUAUUGCCAGUUCAUCUCUUCAUCUGUGGUUCUGCCCGGAAAAUUCGGAAGAGUCUUGCGAAUCUAUCAGUGCCACAGAGCUCUCUAUUUUCAAGAGUGGAAUAUAU